rnacentral:miRNA from 2 species
GUAAUAUACUAAUCCGUGCAU